rnacentral:rRNA from 1 species
UACGUAGGUGGCGAGCGUUGUCCGGAUUUACUGGGCGUAAAGAGCGCGCAGGCGGUCGUACAAGUCGCGUGUGAAAGCCCCCGGCUCAACUGGGGAGGGUCACGCGAUACUGUUCGACUCGAAGGCAGGAGAGGGUAGUGGAAUUCCCGGUGUAGUGGUGAAAUGCGUAGAUAUCGGGAGGAACACCAGUGGCGAAGGCGACUACCUGCCUGUUCUUGACGCUGAGGCGCGAAAGCUAGGGUAGCAAACGGGAUU